UACAGAGGUCCCAAGCGUUGUUCGGAUUCACUGGGCGUAAAGGGUGCGUAGGUGGCGGGGUAAGUUUGAUGUGAAAUCUCCGGGCUUAACCCGGAAACUGCAUUGAAUACUAUUCUGCUCGAGGGUUGGAGGGGGGACUGGAAUACUUGGUGUAGCAGUGAAAUGCGUAGAUAUCAAGUGGAACACCAGUGGCGAAGGCGAGUCCCUGGACAACUCCUGACACUGAGGCACGAAAGCUAGGGGAGCAAACAGG
rnacentral:rRNA from 1 species